ACUUUCACACUGGGCAACCGACUCAGCAGUCAGCGCACACCGCCGCCGGCUCUUGUAACCCGCAAUGGCGAGGCCUUCACGCCAAACCCUGGCCCUGCCGUCCGCGACCUCCCUCCGCCGCCUGUACGGCAACUCGAAGCCGCCUCCUCCCCCGGCCUCGGCGUUCCGGAGAGCCGCGUCGGUGCUCCUCCUCGCCGCGGCCGUGGCGCUGCCCUGCGCCGUGCUGUACCGAGCCGUCGUGUCGAAUGCGCCUCCGCCGGUGCAGGUCGUGUGGGAUCGCUGGCCCUCGAGGGAGUGGGGCCCGCCACGAGCUCCGGUUGUGGUCCCCGAGGCCGAGGAGGACCGCGACCUCGACCACAUUUCCGCCGACGAUCUGGACAGUGAAUAUCUCAAACUUGAGCAAGUUCUACAAGCGGCUUCUAUGGACAAUAAGACCAUUAUAUUGACGACGCUUAAUGCUGCAUGGUCUUCUCCAGGCUCAGUUAUAGAUCUUUUCAUUGAUAGCUUCCGGCAUGGUGUUAGAACUAGUUCACUACUGAAACACCUUGUGAUAAUAGCCUUCGACAGGAAAGCAUAUAGACGAUGUACUGAGAUCCAUACCUACUGUUAUGCUCUUGUAACCGGUAAUGUGGACUUUUCUCAAGAGAAGAGGUUUCUGACUGCUGGGUAUCUGGAGAUGAUGUGGAAAAGGCUGGAUUUCUUGCGCCUAGUUCUUGAAAAAGGUUACAGCUUCAUUUUCUCGGAUGCAGAUAUAAUGUGGUUUCGCAAUCCAUUUCCAUAUUUUUAUCCGGAUGGAGAUCUUCAGGUUGCAUGUGAUCACUAUGUAGGCAAUGCAACUGACUUGAGAAACAUAGCUAAUGGGGGGUUCAACUAUGUGAAGUCGAACAAUCAAAGCAUAGAGUUUUACAAGUUUUGGUAUUCUUCACGACUGAGAUACCCUGGUUAUCAUGACCAGGAUGUACUUAAUUUUAUUAAGCAUGAUCCUUACAUUAUGGAUAUUGGAUUAACCAUUAAGUUUUUAAGUACUACAUACUUUGGUGGUAUUUGUGAGCCAAGCAAAGAUUUAAACGAGGUUUGCACAAUGCAUGCUAACUGUUGCAUUGGAUUGCAAAGCAAACUUCAUGAUUUAAGAAUCAUCAUGGAAGAUUGGAGGGAUUAUAUGUCUAUGCCACCAAGCUUAAAAACAUCUGGGGCAUUCUCAUGGAGGGUACCACAAAAUUGCAGUCUUUCAUUGUUAAACCAGUGAGACAUGUUUUUGGAUGCAAAUGGUGUGGUAUAGUCAAACAUGUCAAUUUCUGAGAAUUUUGUUGGCAACUGGAAAGAAAAAUGUACUUGAAAGGAAAAACCAGUGCAUGAGGAACUCCACCUUUUGUUUAAGAAAGACCCGGUUUAGCCAGAUUAUAUCUUGAGGACUCUGCCAGUUGAUGCCUUCAUCAGUGUUAUGCAUCCUCUACUUUGGAAAAAUAACCAACACGAAGGUGCAAGCUGUUUCUGUUCUCCAGUUUCCAUUUGACAGUGGAGCUGCAGCCUUAUGUGCAUAUUUUUUAAUUGCAUCAGUUAUGUAUACGUUCAUCUAUUUGAUAAGCACUGCGAGAGAGACAGUUGUAGAAUCAAACUGAGGGACACUAAUAGAGGCGAUCUGGACACAGGAUUGGCAGAUAAGUGACUAUACUACUUAAAUCACCUUAACUGAUGAUUUCCAGAAGCCUGACACAUAGUUUCCAGUUUCCUUGCCUUUUAGUGGAAGCCCUUUUUCUCCUCUUAUUGAUAGUCUAAAAACUAGCAUGAUGAAACUUGAUAAUUGUCGCAAUGUUCAAGAAUGAACUUUUAGAACGUGGCGGUGAAUCUUAAUUCGUGACUUGUGACAUUAUCAAUAGGGAACAUUCCAAGUUCAAGGGUUGAAGGCAUCAGCACAGCAAAAGAUGAACUGGCUAUGACUUCCCAGUGUAUCAUCCAUGACCAUGCGGAAUGACUGAAUGAGGGGUGGAAUGGUAUUUUCAGUGUUUAUAGGAUUCCUGUUGUUUCUAAUGCAUUGAGGCUCACUUGAUUCAUUUGGUAAAGUGAAUGAAAAGCAUGAGAAUAUAAAUUUUCCUUUGAUGGCACAUUCUUUUGAUUGAUUCAAAGGAAUGGAGUAAAGAAAUAUAAAUGGAACUACAACUAUCAUCCGAUCUCAGAUUCAAGUGAAACAACGCAGGAUUUCUAGAAAGAUUUCCAGAAAUGACAUAAAUGAAAGUCUGUUUUCCCAUUGACAUUGCUUUGACUUUUAUUUCACUGUGCUUAUUUGAGUCAUGUGUUUUUCGGUGAAUCGUGUACAAACUUAUGUGGUUUCCCAGGCUCUGGUUUGUACAUGUGUUCUUAUCAUAUUCUAGUGUUCUACUACCUCUGUAGUGUGUACACUAAUUAUAAGACGUUUUUGCAGUUCAAUAGUGUACAGAGGGAGUAUUUCAUAUAUUACCAAAUCCUGUGAAUCAAGAGGUUCAAUACCGAGGAAGGAACUUCAGUUGAUAUCCACUAGAAAAUCGAAAUACCGAGGAAGGAAUUUUUUUUUUGACAGAACCGAGGAAGGAAUUUUAGUUACUAUCCACUAGAAAAUGGAAACCAAUUGUACGUCAUGCAAAAGAGAAGUGUUUUAGGCUGCUAGCUAUUUUGACCUCAUUAAUUGUUAAACACAAACCCAUUGAGGCAAGGAAAUAUACAGAUUGUAGCUGGCAGAAUCAUGCAAAUUUAAGAAAGUUCAAAUUUAAGUCGUUCGAAUGAGAGUUUUCCUUAUCGGUAAACUUUGAUUUCAUUUAGGCAAACAGAACCAGGACUACCAACAACACUGAAACUGUAAAACCAUGUGUCCUACAGGAGGAUCACCUGAAGUGAAGUGCAGGGUCCAAAAUGUAUGUUUUUCUCUACAAUGCUCAAGCGCUCAGCCACAAUCAUGAUCUCGCUAUUAUGUCAAGCAGGACAAUCCCCUACUCUGAUGAAUCUUCCGGAGCACGUCGUUGAUGGAGGUAACCUGCUACUCAUCAGGCGCACACAUCCUCCUUUCGCUUGCUCAGAUGAUGGUGUCCACUUCGAAGACAGUGAGCGAAAUCAACCACAGCACAUCAUUUCAGUUAGACAUACCUUAUCUUAUCACGAAACCGGGGUCUUAUCCGCGAUGCUCUACUCUGACAUGCUCGGAGCUCGUUGGGCUUUCUUUCAGUUGAAAUCACACCUUCUGUCCAAAGUUGCACUCAUGAUCACUUUCUUUCUGACGGUUGCUUUUGCACAUGUUUUGAUUCUACUCAUCCGUGGCCGAAGGACGGCGAACCCGUAUACCUACCUGAGACUGUUGAAUGCCACUGAACUUGAUCAUCCUUCGUUGAGUGGUAAAAGAUCACCGCCGCAGUGGCGGCAUCAGGUCCUCAGCGGCAUGAUACCAUGUGCUGAACCUGGGCGUCGACGGUGAGAAAAUCCGGCGAGCAAAACUGCAGCCCGUGUGCUAAAAUCCGGCUGGCAUUGUUUGUGUUGGAAGCGAAACCACGUCUGCUCGUGCGAGGUUCUUUUUUCCGGGAGUCUGGUACGAGAUCCUGUGCGGUGUGCCUAUCAUGGCCGAAGCCAGCGCACAAUGCAAAGUUCAGGACGAUUGGUCCCUUGGAAUAAAUCUCGGUGGAUAUGAUACCAUGCAUGCAAAUAUAAUUGAGCAUCAUAUGUUUUCUUCUUUUCA